GAUGAACGCUGGCGGCGUGCCUAAUACAUGCAAGUCGAACGGGGAGUAGCAAUACUCUUAGUGGCGAACGGGUGAGUAACCCGUUGGUACCUGCCCCGAAGCGGGGGAUAACGGACCGAAAGGUCCGCUUAUACCCCAUGUGCUCGGUAACGAGUAAAGGUGAAAACCAGCUUGGGAGGGGCCUGCGUCCCUUCAGCUAGUUGGUAAGGUAGCGGCUUACCAAGGCGGUGACGGGUAGGGGACCUGAGAGGGUGGCCCCCCACAAUGGAACUGAAACACGGGCCAUACACCGACGAGUGGCAGCAAUAGGGAAUAUUGGGAAUGGGCGCAAGCCUGAACCAGCAACGCCUCUUGUGCGAUGACGGCGUUCGGGUUGUAAAGCAGUUUGGUCUGGGACGAUGAAGGACGUUACCGGUCGAUGCAGCCUCGGCGAACUACGU
rnacentral:rRNA from 1 species